AAGAGUCUAACCUGCCCAGUGAUUUAUUUUUAACGGCCGCGGUACUCUGACCGUGCAAAGGUAGCAUAAUCAUUUGCCUUAUAAUUGAAGGCUAGUAUGAAGGGUUUAACGAGAGUUUAGCUGUCUCCUUAUUAAUUAAAAUGAAAUUGACUUUCAAGUGCAAAGGCUUGAAUAACACUAAAAGACAAGAAGACCCUAUUGAGCUUUAUAAAUUUAAUGAUUUUUGCUCUAAAUUUUAUUAAUACUAAUUCAUUAGUAUUUUUGGUUGGGGCGACUCUGGAACAAUUAAAGCUUCUAGAAAUAAUAAUAUUAAAAUUUUUUUGAAAGUAGAUCCAGAAUUUUCUGAUUGAUAGAAUAAGUUACCAUAGGGAUAACAGCAUAAUCUUUUUUGAGAGUUCUAAUCGAAAAAAAUGUUUGUGACCUCGAUGUUGGAUUAGAAUAUCCUAUGGGUGCAGAAGCUCUUCUGGGUUGGUCUGUUCG
rnacentral:rRNA from 1 species